ensembl:misc_RNA Y_RNA Y RNA
GGCUGGUCCCAAGGUAGUGAAUUAUCUCCGUUGAUUGUUCACAGUCAGGUACAGAUCAAACUCCUGUUCUACUCUUUUUCUCCUUCUCACUAUUGCCCUUGGCAAGACUUAA